rnacentral:sRNA from 1 species
UUUUGAUAGUAGGUAACCUUGUGAAGAUGUUUGUUAAGCUGCAAGGAGUUAAGGUAUAUCAAUUCAGUUAUUGUAAGGAUACUUUCAAUAGGUGGAUUUAUUGUAGUAGUAAUAUUGCGAUAGAAGUGAGAAACUCACAACGAUAACUUAACGUGCUUAUUAUAUACGCUCAUAAAAACAUAAUUCUCUUGGUGGUAAUAAUAGACGCUCUCUGUGAGGGAAUAAUCUUAUAUGUUAGAUGUAGGGAUAUAUUUAACCUCUAUAAGAAAAUCCAAAUAAUGCCAUUAGUCGUGAACCUAAGAAAUUAGGGUAUAACAAGAGUUUGUAGUGCGAGUAGCCAAAGACGACUGGAAAUACAUAGUUGAAAAUAUAAUCACGAAUGGAUUAUAAGAUGAUAAAUUCUAUUUCUGAAAAACUGGUGAAAGUUAGAGGUAGUCAAUCCUCUUCAAGUAUUAGUGCUUCGUCGCUAUGUAAAAUAUAGGGCAAGAAGCAUCAAGGUCGCUCCUUAAUGCUCAGACUUGUCUUCUUGGUGGUUGAAUAUAUGAGAAGUAUGUAAUCGGUAAGGUGAAGACCUACCUACUAUUCUAUUUAA